rnacentral:rRNA from 1 species
CUUCGGAGAGUUUGAUCCUGGCUCAGAUUGAACGCUGGCGGCGUGGAUAAGGCAUGCAAGUCGUACGCGAAAGUCCCCUUCGGGGGACCAGUAGAGUGGCGAACGGGUGAGUAACACGUGAGCAACCUGCCUUCCGGUGGGGGACAACCCCGGGAAACCGGGGCUAAUACCGCAUACGUUCGAGGGGUCGCAUGGCUCUUCGAGCAAAGCGGGCCUCUGCUUGCAAGCUCGCGCCGGGAGAGGGGCUCGCGGCCGAUUAGCUAGUUGGUCGGGUAACGGCCUACCAAGGCGAUGAUCGGUAGCUGGUUUGAGAGAAUGGUCAGCCACACUGGGAUUGAGAUACGGCCCAGACUCCUACGGGAGGCAGCAGUCUAGAAGCUUCGGCAAUGGGGGCAACCCUGACCGAGCGACGCCGCGUGCGGGAUGAAGGCCUUCGGGUUGUAAACCGCUUUCGACAGGGAAGAAGGGUGCCGGGGCCAAUACCCCCGGCAUUUGACGGUACCUGGAGAAGAAGCCUCGGCUAAUUCCGUGCCAGCAGCCGCGGUAAUACGGGGGAGGCAAGCGUUAAUCGGAUUCAUUGGGCGUAAAGGGCGUGUAGGCGGUU